GAGUUAUAUUAGGAAGUAUGUUCACACAGUAACAUGAUAUACAUAUGCAUUUUGUUACUAAAGAGUUUUAUGUGCCUACUGCAAUCAAGAAAUUCGAUCAGUGAACGACGCACUGGUUUAUCUGAAAUCACGGAGCGAAAAAUUGUUUCCACUGACUAGGCGAUGUUUCCAAUUGUUGCUUACAGUCAGGCCCAUAACUAGGUAUAUGAGUCAAUCGAGUUCAAGUUCAAUGACAGACUGUAU